GACGGAGGGUGGGAGCGUUGUUCGGAUUGACUGGGCGUAAAGGGCGUGUAGGCGGUCGGCCAAGUCUGGUGUGAAAGCCCGGGGCUCAGCUCCGGAAGUGCGCCGGAAACUAGCUGGCUGGAGCGCGGUAGAGGAGGGUGGAAUUCCGGGUGUAGCGGUGGAAUGCGUAGAGAUCCGGAAGAACACCGGUGGCGAAGGCGGUCUGCUGGGCCAAGACUGACGCUGAGGCGCGACAGCGUGGGGAGCAAACAGG
rnacentral:rRNA from 1 species